CGUAGUCUAAUUCUAGUCUAUCUUUUGCCAAGUUUAACCUCAUGUAUUUUUAAUAAAAUCUGAGGCUCUUCCUUUAUUGCGGCGGAGGGUACACUAGAUCUGAUUCGGUGGAAAUAAACGGCAUCGUUUCAUGAUAUUCAACUUAACAAAACCAUGGACCCGCCCCAUCUUCAUAUAGCUGCCGUCCAAACCAAACCCUAAUUUUUUCCUGACAGGCCUCACUCUGCAUCAGAUUACAGCUGCUAAAGCUACUAAUAGUUCUCCGCUGGAAUUAUGAGUAUAGAUUAACAAGUUAAUUAGAGCAUCGAAUGGUUUCAUCUAUGGCAUUAUGUCACCAAAAUCGGUUGACAAUAUUGGUGGGUGUUGGAAGAGUAAUAAGUUUUUACCUACUAUAAAAGACAAUGGAGACCUAAAGAAGACCUUGAAGAAGUUUCAAUAUUUUCAUUGAGAUGCUUCUAAUGUUACAUCUGUUGAGUUUUGCAAGAACAAGUUCAUGUAAGAACCCUUCCUGGCCAAUCUUCAUCCUAUUUUUCUUGGUAUUGUUGUCAUCGGGAAUGACUUUGGUUCACUUUUGAAAUCAGCUCAAAUCUUUGCUUCCAUUGUAUUGUCUUGAAUGUGAUUUUAUCUUUUCACUAAAUUGUUAUGAAAUAAGGUGUCUUGUAA